AUGCUCCAGAUUCCUGACCCGUGAGCUCUAAACAUUGGUCUGAGUGGCUACAAAAGGAGGAAACAUAAAACUGAACUGUGCUUGUGUUCUUUAGGGACAUUCCAGUUCAUUUCAAACAGAC
rnacentral:snoRNA from 1 species